rnacentral:rRNA from 1 species
UACGUAGGGGGCUAGCGUUGUCCGGAUUUAUUGGGCGUAAAGAGCGUGUAGGCGGCCAGGUAGGUCUGGUGUGAAAACUCGAGGCUUAACCUCGAGAUGUCAUCGGAAACCAUCUGGCUAGAGUCCGGAAGAGGAGAGUGGAAUUCCUGGUGUAGCGGUGAAAUGCGUAGAGAUCAGGAAGAACACCGGUGGCGAAAGCGCUCUGCUGGACCUUAACUGACACUGAGGGACGAAAGCUAGGGGAGCGAAUGGG